UCCACAAGACUGCAGGCUAAGCUCGUGCUACUGCAGAGCAAGAAGUAUCAUCCACUAUUACAAGUGAGUCUGCGUCCACUUUCUCAGGGGGACGCAAAAUAUUCCUUGACAUUACUUCAGAGGGCAUCAGGUCCAAUAAUUAUUCUUCGCUCCAUUUCACUAACGUCGAUCAUUACCAGCAGGUGCAUUACCUCGAAGUUCUCCAUUGUCUCACAUACCAUCCAUCAUUAGGUAUUCAGAACUCAGUCAGCCAGAACACCUCUGAAGCAAGACAGUCACCCCUCGAGCAACUUGUAUGUUGCCUUGCAGAGAAGAGACCCAUCUCCCUCUGAAUUUACAAGGAGACAACUGCUCCAGACAACAAACUUUUGCACAAACAAAAAAUAAAUGAAGCACAGAUGUUGGUCAGAUUCAUAACGCAAUAGGAUUUGUAAAGGAAUGCUUGCUCUCUCUGUGGUUGCCGGAUAGAGGAAAUUCUCACUUACUGCAGCUUCUUAUGAAAGAUCGCACCCAACAAGAUGGACAACAACCAAUGUACAAGGAAUGAACAACAAUCUGUACAAAUAUCAAAAGAAAGAGACAAAUAAAGGAAUUAUAAUAAUAAAUAAACAAAUAAAUAAAUAAGCAAGGAUAUGUGAUGAAGAGUCCUUGAAGGUGAAUCGAAGGGUUGUGGGAACAGCAGAGUGAUGGGGCAUGUGACAUUGAAUGUUGUCCCCUUUGUUCAAGAGCCAGAUGGUUGAGGGGUAAUAACUGCCUUUAAACCUGAUAGUACAUGUGCUGAGGCUCCUGUACCUUCUUCCUGAUGGCAGCAGCGAGAAAGAGUGCAUGGCCUGGAUGAUGGGGUCUUUGAUUAUGGAUGCUGAUUUCCUGUGACAGUGCUCCAUACAGAUGUGCUGAAUGAUGGGGAGGGUUUUGCCCGUGAUGGACUGGCCGUAUCCAGCACCUUUUGCAGGAUUUUCCAUACAAGGGCACUGGUUUUUCGAUACCACACUGUGGUGCAACUUGUCAACAUACUCUGCACCACGCAUCCAUCAAAGUUUCAGAUACCAUACUGAAUCUUCACAACUUCUAAUGAGGUAGACGUGCUGGCAUGC